CGCGCGCGGGGCGGGGCCGGAGCGGCCCGGCCCGCUGGCCCUCGGCGCGCCGCCACCUUCAGUCUCUGCUGGGAUUGUCCAAAACCCUCCGGGUUCUUCUUGUUGAGACUGUUGCCUGGACACCUCCUGAGAUGGUGCAGUUACCACCGACCUCCGGUUUAACUUCCCGAUAGAGGGCAAUUUGCAUAUUUCUUAAAGAACUUCCAAGAAGCUGGACAGCCUGUUUUCAGACUUAGAGAGAAGGGAAGCCCAAGGUUGUUUCUUGAAAUCUGGGACUGGAAAUGGCCGCAAGUGACGGGUCGGGCCCGAGGCUGCCCCGGGUGGCUGAGCCGGGUGUGGAGGGGGAGCCACAUCUGCCCACGGGCCGGGAGCUGACCGAGGCCAACCGCUUCACCUACGCCGCCCUCUGCGGCAUCUCCUUGUCCCAGCUCUUUCCAGAGCCCGAGCAAAGGUCCUUCUGCACAGACUUUGUGGUUGGCCUGGUGAAGUGGCUGGACCUGUCUGAAGCCGUCUUGCCUACUAUGACUGCUUUUGCCAGUGGUCUGGGAGGCGAAGGAGCAGACAUGUUUGCUCAGGUUUUGUUGAAGGACCCCAUCUUGAAGGAUGACCCACUGGUGAUCACUCAGGACCUUCUGAGCUUCUCACUCAAGGAUGGCCGCUACGAUGCUCGGGCCCGCGUCCUCAUCUGCCACAUGGCCUCCCUCCUCCGAGCACCCGUGGAGGAGCUCGACCUCCUGGAAGAGACCUUCCUCGAGAGCCUGAAGGAAACCAAAGAGGAGGACUCUGAGUCUGCCGAGGCAUCCCGGAAGAAGAAGGAGAACAGGAGGAAGUGGAAGCGCUAUCUGCUGAUAGGCCUGGCGACCGUGGGAGGCGGGACGGUGAUCGGCGUCACCGGGGGCCUGGCCGCUCCUCUCGUUGCUGCUGGGGCCGCCACCGUCAUCGGCAGCGCUGGGGCCGCGGCUCUGGGCUCAGCGGCCGGCAUCGCCAUCAUGACCUCGCUGUUCGGCGCCGCUGGAGCCGGCCUGACAGGAUACAAGAUGAAGAAGCGUGUUGGGGCCAUUGAGGAGUUCACAUUUCUGCCCCUGACGGAAGGCAGGCAGCUGCACAUCACCGUCGCCAUCACGGGAUGGCUGGCAUCCGGGAAAUACCGCACCUUCAACGCCCCGUGGGCUGCCCUGGCCCGCAGCCGUGAGCAGUACUGCCUGGCCUGGGAGGCCAAGUACCUGAUGGAGCUCGGCAACGCCCUGGAGACCAUCCUCAGCGGUCUUGCCAACAUGGUGGCCCAGGAGGCCCUGAAGUACACGGUGUUGUCUGGCAUCGUGGCCGCCCUCACCUGGCCAGCCUCACUCCUCAGUGUCGCCAAUGUCAUUGACAACCCCUGGGGCGUGUGCCUCUAUCGAUCGGCGGAGGUUGGCAAGCACCUGGCCCACAUUCUGCUCUCCCGGCAGCAGGGCCGGCGGCCUGUCACCCUGAUCGGCUUCAGCCUGGGAGCCAGAGUCAUCUACUUCUGUCUGCAGGAGAUGGCUCAGGAAAAAGAUUGCCAAGGGAUCAUUGAGGACGUCGUCCUGCUGGGCGCACCUGUGGACGGAGAAGCCAAGAACUGGGAGCCUUUCCGGAAGGUGGUUUCUGGAAGGAUCGUCAAUGGCUACUGCAGGGCGGACUGGCUGCUGAGCUUCGUCUACCGCACGUCCUCCGUGCGGCUCCGCGUGGCCGGCCUGCAGCCUGUGCUGCUGCAAGACAGGAGGGUGGAGAACGUGGACCUGUCCUCCGUGGUCAGUGGCCACUUGGACUAUGCCAGGCAGAUGGACGUCAUCCUGAAGGCCGUGGGCAUCCGCACCAAGCCCAGCUGGGACGAGAAGGGACUCUUGCUGGCCCCAGGCAGCCUGCCCCAAGAGGAAUCCCGCCGGGCGGCAGCCACCUCUUCAUCGGAUCAGACCACCAACCAGGAUGGGCAAACCCAGGGUCCCACAUCCGGAGACACCCCCAAAGCAGCCAUACCCCCUGACCUCCACCAAGCCCAGGUGCCAGCGGGACUGAACCAGUCUGAAGGGGCCUCCCUCCCUGCUGCUACCAGGCCUGCUGAGAGCCCCCCUCUCUGCAGCCAUGGCCUGGGCGCCAACCCACUGGGCUGCCCUGCCUGUGCCCGUGAGACACAGGGGCCCUGCCCAGGGCUGGACUGACCCGAGGAGAGUCACCUUCCCAGACUGCUUCAUGGAGCACCCUCUUACUCUGCUUCACCGACUCCCCUGCCACAAGCUCUGGAGAUGGAGAAUCUCUACCACUGCCUUUGCUAAAUUGAAGACGUUGGUACUGGAAGGACAGGGGCUUGUAAGGAGACACUGUCCCUUCCCCGAGGAAUGGAGGCCAGAGCUCCACAGAGUCAAGCCAGCACAGUACGGAUCCCUGGGGCUGAACUGGCUGGGUACCUCCUGUGCUUUGGGUCAGCGCUGGGGGUCGAUUGCCCAUCCGGAGCUCUCUGGAGCCACCCUGCCAAGCUCUCCAGCCUCAAGAGCCUGGUGUCUGCCCACCCCUCUAACCACUAUCCAGAGCUGUGCUCCAGCCCACAGGCGCCAUGGGGGGGUGGGUCCAGUGGGGAGUGGACAGCUUACCCUCUCUGCCCUUGGGAGAUCCGAUGAGAUUUGCCGCGUGCAGCCAUCCAGGCCGAGCCCUGCACAACCACAGGGGCGGCCAUCAGAAACACGUGACGUGAAGGCCCCCCCACAAAGCCACAGGGGGGCCCUGAAUAUAAUGGUUACAGAGCAGGAUGCAGAGACCCUGGGUCCGCAGGCAGUGUGGACAGGAGCUGGGCCUGGGACAAGAAUGAAGUACGUGGGGGGAUUUCCUAUGGCAGAAACAAAGGUGUGAUGAUCAUAAUAAUAGAUAAUAACACUCGCUACCAUUUAUUAAGCAUUUACCGUGUGCAGAGCGCUUUGUACGGAUUGUCUCAGCUGACCCCUCACAACAACCCAGUGAGCAGAUAUUCAGAGCCUGUUGGUCCAAAGCACUGCUGGUCACACAGCCUGCUGCUGUUGGUCCAAACCGCUCAUGUCACCCACGGAAGACUCAGCCCUGAGAGAGGAAAGGACGUUGCUGAGGUCCCAGAGCAAGCUCGGGCAGAGUCUGGACCAGAACACAGGACACCCGCACCCAGAGUCUCUUCCCCCUUCACCAGCGGCUUCUCCAGCCCCAGUGGCCCUUCAAGCAGAUUCGGUCCACACCGCAGUCACCACCUCAGCUAGGGCUUAUUGAGAGUCCACGGGGGCAAGCCUGGGGCUAGAAGGGGAGCCCGACAAGCACCGUGGCCCCUGCAGAGUCAGUGGCAUGGCCAGAAUGGAGUCUCCAUGCUCAGUACCAUGGAGAGCACCAGGCCGCCCAGGGUGGCCCCCGGGAUCUCGGUUGGUAGAACUUGGUGGGAAGAUGGGAGGGAGGCGGGCAGGGAGUAAGAAAAACCUCAGACUGAAAGGGAGCCUCAAGCGGGUAGACUUUGGCAACCAAGAGUUCCUCGUCAGAAAAACAAAAGCAAGUCCUGUGCCGGCGUCCACCUGCCUUCCCCACGGCACCUGCCCGUACCAGGGAUGGCUUCUCUACCACUCUGCUGACCCAGUGCCCAUGGCUGCUUCCCUCACUGACCCCAGGGAAGGCCAGAAGGCAGCAGGAGAGGGACUGGUUCUGUCCUCAUCAGAUAGUUCCCUUCUAGGCCAAAGGAAGCCCAAGGUAGGGAACACCCAUCCUUGAUCUUGAGCAAGAACCCAGCAGCUACCCAUGUGCCCCCAGGAGGGGCAGGGCAGCAGCCUAGCCAGGAGUUGGGGAGACAGAGUCAGAUCGUGGGCUGCGGGCCGGGGCUGAGGAGGAGGAGGAAGGCAAGGGUAAAAAAGUGGGAACAGUGGCCCUUCCUGGCCCUCCGCCAGGGGCCAGGGGAUUGGAUGGCCGGGAGUUACAACAGCAGCAGGGACCACCCACUAACCACCUGCCAAGUACUGGGCGUUCUGUGCCCAUAACGCCCUAGGAGGCAGGCAUCGUUUCCCCAUUUGCAUGUGGAAUACCAGUCUCAGAGGUUAAGUAACUUGUACAAGGGCUGGAAAGCAGUGAAGCGGAGGUUCGAACUUUGUCUGCCUGACUCCCAGGCUCAGAUAUUUACUAUGCAGCACGUAUAUCCUGAGAGCCUAGCUGGUCUGAAAACUGUCUAGCCAGACAUCCUCAGGUUAAAGAUCCCCUGAGCCAGCACAUCUCAAACCAUAGCGUGCACACGAUUCACCUGGCUACCAGCAGGUCUAGGGUGGGGCAGGGGCAGGGGCAGGGGCGUGCACUUCUAACAGACUCCCGGGAGCUGAUGCUGAUGGUCAAGGCCCGCAGAGCAAGGGAUCUGGCCCAGCGCUGAGCCACCUCUGCAGACAGAGGCAUGGCUCCCAUGCAGGCUGAUAAGAUGUGCAAGGGAGGUGACUGCCUGCAUCCUAAGCUGGACCAAGAGGGCCUUACCCCACUCCUGGGAGUCCUCCAACCCUGCUCAACACACACACACCAGUUACACUCAGUGGUGAGGCAUCCUGGAGAAAACUGUCCUAAAGCCAGCAACCAGGCCUCCAGGUUGGAGGCCUGCGGUGUGCAGGGGGUGCUGACUCAGUGCCACCCACUGGAGCUCAGAAUGGCUCCCCAGAGGACCUGUAGCCUCCUGGUUUUAGCCAAGGGCUGGUCCAAGGCCUUGGGGGACCUGGUCCCAUCCAGUCCAGUUCUCCACGCCUGCAUCAGUUCGUGGGGGUCCCAGGUGGAUGCGGCCGCAGCUCAGGCUCCGUGCGAUCGAUGCUGAAGAAGUUGACGGUAGUAGUGGCCCUGGCAGGAGGGGGUGGAUCCCGGGUGGCCUCGCCAGGCAGCAGCAGCUGGCCCGUGAGCCGUGGGCCAGGAAAGCCCCCGGAGCCCGAGCCCGAGUCCGAGUCCGAGUCCGGCGGCAGGGGCAGGGGCAGCACGUGCUGCAGGCUCAGGCCGGGCCGCGCGCCGCUGUGAGAGGUCCGCACGGAGGGCGAGGCGAGGCCCGGCUGCUGCUCCCGGGGGCCGCAGGGACACGGCAGGAGCCUGCCCAGGGCCCGCCUGAAGUCCCGCAUGAAGAGAGGGUAGAUGAUGGGGUUCAUGGUGCUGUUGCAGUAGCCCAGCCACGUGAGGACGUCAAAGAGCCCCAGGGAGAUGCAGCCACACACGGCCUGGAGGGGGCGGGGGGACAUCCUGGAGCCGGGGCGCAGGGCACCCCACCCGGCGUGGAUGUGACAGACCGCAGACACGCGCUCUGAGUGGCUGCCCGCCCCCCUCCCUCCCCAGCUCUGGGGGUGCGGGGUCGGCGGUGGUGGGAUUCGGGGCCUCCCCAGCAAGGCGGGGACUCACCCACCCCCAGCGGUGGCAUUACCUGGACUAUGUUGGCCACAAAGAAAGGCAGCCAGGUCACAAAGAACAUGCCCAGCAGGAUGCCCAGGGUCAGGCUGGCCUUCAAGGCCUUCCUGCUAUGCUUGCUGGCUAGACGCCGGCUGUCAGCUGACUCCACCCCUGGGCGUGGGGUCCUGGGCACCUGCAGAGAGGAAGGCCACGUGACUUGUCUGCACCUCUUCCUGGCCCCAGACUGAGCCUUAAUCCUAAUUCUAGGCCGAGCCCUUAACACACUCAGCCUUGACCCUUGAAUGGGCUCCAGCUGUAGUCCUAGCCUGAGCCCUGACCGUGACUCCAGGCUGAACCUUGACCUUGGCUUCAGAGUGAGCCCUUCAGCAAUAAGCUAAACUCUGCUCAUGGCCUGACCGCUGAAACCUGCCACAGAUUGAGCCCCACACAGCCACAGUCUCAGACUGAGCCUCCAGCCUGGGCCGGACUGGGCCCAGCUUUAGCCCCAGUCCAAGCCUUGAUCCCAGAAAUAGACAGCCUUUGUCCUGGUCCUGCACCAGGCCCUGACCCUGACUAGCAGUGUGCAGGGAGCUCUAGGAAGGGCAGUGAGACUUCCCAGGGGCUCGUGUUCCUGCUUGUUGGACAGUGUCGAGCGCUGUGCUUUGCAGGGAGUGAGGGCCUCCUGAGCUGUUGGCUUUGUGUCUGGACGCAGUUUCGUCCUGCACUGCACUUGGGCACUUCAAGAAUUAGCUGCAAUUGGACAGUACUUGACGAAAGAAGACAGCUGCUGUGCGAGGCUUGACAAUCUCUUUGCCUGUGAAUUGAUUCUCUUCCUAUUUUGGAGUGACAGUUUUGCACCACUGUUUUCAUGAUCCACAAAAUAAAGUCUAUUUUGAAAACAUG